GCGGAAUUGGUACAGUGGCAGCAUGCGUCCUUCCCAAGGAUGAGACACGAGUUCGAUUCUCGUAUUCCGCA
rnacentral:tRNA from 1 species